AACAUGCUUCCUUAGAUCCACCUUUGUGGGUGCCAAUCUUGAACUGAGUUCUACUUGGAAACUUUGUGUUUCUUGUAGUUCCAGUCAAAGAAACAUCCAACAACUUUUUUGGUUGUAUAGUCAAAGGUGCUUGAGUCAUUGUCAUGUGAGAUAAAUAUACCUGCAUGUUACUCUUAGGUUCUGAUAGAAAUGACUUGCACUCAUGCCGUCAUU
rnacentral:snoRNA from 1 species